CCCGUCACGUCACGAAAGUCGGUAACACCCGAAGCCGGUGGCCCAACCCCCUUGUGGGGAGGGAGCUGUCGAAGGUGGGACUGGCGAUUGGGACGAAGUCGUAACAAGGUAGCCGUACCGGAAGGUGCGGCUGGAUCACCUCCUUUCUAAGGAG
rnacentral:rRNA from 1 species